UGAGUCUGGGCCGUGUCUCAGUCCCAAUGUGGCCGAUCGACCUCUCAGUCCGGCUACCGAUCGUCGGCAUGGUGAGCCGUUGCCUCACCAUCUACCUAAUCGGACGCGAGCCCAUCUCUCAGCGAUAAAUCUUUGAUGUUUUCGUCAUGCGGCAAAAAUAUGUCAUGAGGUAUUAUCAAUCGUUUCCAACUGUUAUCCCUCUCUGAGAGGCAGGUUGCUCACGUGUUACUCACCCGUCUGCCACUAGAUGGAAAAUCUCUAUCCAACUUUGUGCAAGCACGCAGUUUUCUAAAAGGCCAUCUCGUUCGACUUGCAUGUCUUAGGCAUGCCGCCAGCGUUCAUC
rnacentral:rRNA from 1 species